CUCAUUGCCGGCACAAAAGAGCAACCACUUCGUUGAACGGAGCGGGCCAAUACUGCCCUUGGCUCGGACUGAUGACGCACAGCAGACGCUACUCCCCAGGAAACGUGUGGAGCCAGUGAAAGGAAGAAAAACAAUGAAAGGAAGGCUUGAAAAGUUCAUUACAAAACUACAGUGCUUUGAAAAAUAUUUCAAAGAUAUUAAAAUGAAAACUGAUUACAUGACACAAUAA